UAGUAUAAACGUGCAUGGGUAUUUGUGUAUGUGUGUAUAUAUAAUACAUUAUUUUAAGGCUGUUCACUAUUUUUCGCUCGUAGUGUAUGCAACUUCAGCAACAAGUAUUGAUAAAAUAUGAACUAUAAGUGUAAUAGGGAAAUACUUUCUCCACUAUGUGCUAUUGUAUCGGCGAAUAUUAGAUUAUAUCCCUCUUUCGCGUAAUAUAAGGAUUGAGUUAGUGUAACUGAAAUUUUUGUAUGUGGUAAAAAUGGUAAUGUAUCUGACAAAGCAAGAAGAAAACCAUAUGUCAUUAUAUUUUUCUAAAGAUAGAUUAAUUGGAAAGUAUUUGUAAAUUGUAUAGACUAUAUAUUUUGUUUCUAGUUAAUUAUAAAUAACUAAAGUGUAUUAAAAUAAUCAUUAGUUCGAUAUUACUUGUGAUGAAAUGCAUAACAUAUAUAAUAUAAUUUUUAAUUUCUUUGCAUUUGGAAUAAUUCCGAAAAUCUGAGCAUAAGCUAUUUACAUAUACAACCAAGCUGGUAGUCGCUACAUCAUGGAACAAACAUUCCUCAUUCAAGAGUGAUAUGAGAACUAGUAGUGAGGAUUAAAUUGGAGAUAUACCAGUGGUACCUGAAUGUUGGAGCAGGUGGACCAGGAGCAGGGGGCAAUGGUCUAGGCUCUGGCUUACUAGGUCCUUGAAGAGGUUGAGGAGCGAGAAAAGAAGCUGAACCACCUGGAUGUCCAGGAUGAUGUAAACUAUGUGGAGGUAAUAAAUCUUCUCCACGAACUUCUACUCUCCAUUCUGCUUUUUGCAUUGGCCUUUCGAAGUAACUGCAAAUAAACCGUCUACACGAUAAAAAAUUAAAUUUAUAUAAUUUAAUUUUUAUAACUUAACUAUUUUGAAAUUGAUUAAUUUUAUAUAUGAAUAUACAUCAAUUAUGAUUCUCAUCUUUCUCUUCUCUUAGAUAAUAAAACUACUUACUCAGGAGAAAUAAGAUCUGAUUCUGUUUCAUACAAUUCAGGUAAUCUUUCCAAACCUAAUACUUCUCUGCGCAUUCUAUCAAUAUCAUGUUUUAAUGGUUGAUAAUUACUAUUAUGUAUAAGUUUAGCAGUUUCCCGUGAUCUGUUCCUUGCUUUUUCUGCUUG